ensembl:lncRNA
CUGGUCGUCACUAAGCAACGAUCUGAGAGUUUUACUAACUACUGUACACAACAGGAAUAGUGACUUGUUCUUAAUCCCACUUAUGUAAUGGCUCCAUUAUGGGAUGGCAGGUAGCCUGGUGGUUAGAGGAGGCAGGUAGCCUAGUGGUUAGAGGAGGCAGGUAGCCUGGUGGUUAGAGGAGGCAGGUAGCCUGGUGGUUAGAGGAGGCAGGUAGCCUGGUGGUUAGAGGAGGCAGGUAGCCUAGUGGUUAGAGGAGGCAGGUAGUCUGGUGGUUAGAGGAGGCAGGUAGUCUAGUGGUUAGAGGAGGCAGGUAGCCUAGUGGUUAGAGGAGGCAGGUAGCCUGGUGGUUAGAGGAGGCAGGUAGCCUGGUGGUUAGAGGAGGCAGGUAGCCUAG